rnacentral:rRNA from 1 species
UAAUACAGAGGGUGCAAGCGUUGUUCGGAAUCACUGGGCGUAAAGCGCGCGCAGGCGGAAGUGUAAGUCGGAAGUGAAAUCCCGCCGCUCAACGGCGGGGCUGCUUCGGAUACUGCACCUCUGGGGACCGGUAGAGGCUGGUAGAAUUGCUGGUGUAGCGGUGGAAUGCGUAGAGAUCAGCAAGAAUACCCGUGGCGAAGGCGGCCAGCUGGGCCGGAUCCGACGCUGAGGCGCGAAAGCGUGGGGAGCAAACAGGAUUAGAUACCCUGGUAGUCCACGCCGUAAACGAUGGGCACUAGGUGCCGGGGGGAGCGACCCCGUCGGUGCCGCAGCUAACGCGAUAAGUGCCCCGCCUGGGGAGUACGGCCGCAAGGCUG